UACGGGGGGGGCAAGCGUUGUUCGGAAUUACUGGGCGUAAAGGGCUCGUAGGCGGCCAACUAAGUCAGACGUGAAAUCCCUCGGCUUAACCGGGGAACUGCGUCUGAUACUGGAUGGCUUGAGGUUGGGAGAGGGAUGCGGAAUUCCAGGUGUAGCGGUGAAAUGCGUAGAUAUAUAAAAGAACAUCAAUAUGGCGAAGGCAGUUAACUAUUCUGUUACUGACAUUGAGGCAUGAAAGCGUGGGGAGCAAAACGG
rnacentral:rRNA from 1 species